UUCACCACCUGUGAACUCUGACCACUCCCCUUUUCUCUGACACAGGCUCAUAAAACUAAAGGUACCACCAUGAACAAGGUGUCGUGAGCACAAGAGCAGGAUGGAUGUGGACAAUCUGCCAGACACGGGGCCUGAAAGACAAUGGUCCUGAUACUGGUGGAACCAGGAAAAUGGAGGACAAGCUCCGGAAGACAAAACCUAAUAGGCACUCCUCCUCCACAAUGGGCUCAAAUACUCAUGUAAUGAAAGCCGCCUGUUCUCCAUCUUCCUAGAGUUUCAAGAUGGGCGAACUUACAACAAGGAAAUCGAGGAUGGGCUCCAGCCUGCACCAUAUUCAUUUGACUAUAAGCUCAGCGAUUAAGAGUUUAGGCUCUGAGGUAAGAAUGCCUGGAUUCCACUUCUGGCUCUGGUACCAUAUGACCUCUGUAAGCCUCUGUUUCCUCAUCUGUAGUAUGGGCAUAAUGACGGCUCCUUCAUUGGCGGUUCACUGGAUUAAUGGGACUUCCAUCGAGAAAGCACUUCGCAUUGGGGCACCUGGGUGCCUCAGCCGUUAAGCAUCUGCCUUCGGCUCAGGUCAUGAUCCCAGGGUCCUGGGAUUGAGACCCGCACUGGGCUCCCUGCUCGGCAGGAAGCCUGC